rnacentral:rRNA from 1 species
GUUGCUAACGCGUGAAGGCGAGCACUCUAGACGAACUGCCGUUGACAAAACGGAGGAAGUGGGAUGACGUCAAAUCAUCACUGCCCUUUAUGACCUGGGCUACAAACGUACUACAAUGGCCAAUACAAAAAGAUGCGAAGCGGUGACGUGGAGCGAACCUCAGAAAGUUGGUCUCAGUUCAGAUUGAAGUCUGCAACUCGACUUCAUGAAGGCGGAAUCGCUAGUAAUCGCGGGUCAGCAGACCGCGGUGAAUACGUUCCCGGGUUU